AUUGAACGCUGGCGGCAGGCCUAACACAUGCAAGUCGAGCGAGCGGCGGACGGGUGAGUAAUGUCUGGGAAACUGCCUUAUGGAGGGGGAUAAAUACUGGAAACGGUAGCUAAUACCGCAUACCAUCAGAUGUGCCCAGAUGGGAUUAGCUAGUAGGUGGGGUAACGGCUCACCUAGGCGACGAUCCCUCGCUGGUCUGGGAGGAUGACCAGCCAAACUGGAACUGAGACACGGUCCAGACUCCUACGGAAGGCAGCAGUGGGGAAUAUUGCACAAUGGGCGCAAGCCUGAUGCGGCCAUGCCGCGUGUGUGAAGAAGGCCUUCGGUUGGUAAAGCACUUUCAUCGGGGAGGCGUUACCCGAAGAAGAAGCACCGGCUAACUCCGUGCCAGCAGCCGCGGUAAUAC
rnacentral:rRNA from 1 species